rnacentral:rRNA from 1 species
GACGAACGCUGGCGGCGUGCCUAAUACAUGCAAGUUGAGCGCUGAAGGUUGGUACUUGUACCAACUGGAUGAGCAGCGAACGGGUGAGUAACGCGUGGGGAAUCUGCCUUUGAGCGGGGGACAACAUUUGGAAACGAAUGAUAAUACCGCAUAAAAACUUUAAACACAAGUUUUAAGUUUGAAAGAUGCAAUUGCAUCACUCAAAGAUGAUCCCGCGUUGUAUUAGCUAGUUGGUGAGGUAAAGGCUCACCAAGGCGAUGAUACAUAGCCGACCUGAGAGGGUGAUCGGCCACCUUGGGACUGUGACACGGCCCAAACUCCUUCGGGAGGCAGCCGUAGGGAAUCUUCGGCCAUGGACGAAAGUCUGACCGCGCAACGCCGCGUGAGUGAAGAAGGUUUUCGGAUCGUAAAACUCUGUUGGUAGAGAAGAACGUUGGUGAGAGUGGAACGCUCAUCAAGUGACGGUAACUACCCAGAAAGGGACGGCUAACUACGUG